GGAUUAGCUUGUUGGUGAGGUAAAGGCUCACCAAGGCGACGAUCCUUAGCUGGUCUGAGAGGAUGAUCAGCCACACUGGGACUGAGACACGGCCCAGACUCCUACGGGAGGCAGCAGUGGGGAAUAUUGCACAAUGGGCGCAAGCCUGAUGCAGCCAUGCCGCGUGUAUGAAGAAGGCCUUCGGGUUGUAAAGUACUUUCAGCGGGGAGGAAGGGAGUAAAGUUAAUACCUUUGCUCAUUGACGUUACCCGCAGAAGAAGCACCGGCUAACUCCGUGCCAGCAGCCGCGGUAAUAUGGAGGGUGCAAGCGUUAAUCGGAAUUACUGGGCGUAAAGCGCACGCAGGCGGUUUGUUAAGUCAGAUGUGAAAUCCCCGGGCUCAACCUGGGAACUGCAUCUGAUACUGGCAAGCUUGAGUCUCGUAGAGGGGGGUAGAAUUCCAGGUGUAGCGGUGAAAUGCGUAGAGAUCUGGAGGAAUACCGGUGGCGAAGGCGGCCCCCUGGACGAAGACUGACGCUCAGGUGCGAAAGCAUGGGGAGCAAACAGGAUUAGAUACCCUGGUAGUCCACGCCCUAAACGUUGGGCGCUAGGUGUGGGAUCCAUUCCACGGGUUCCGUGCCGCAGCUAACGCAUUAAGUGUCCCGCCUGGGGAGUACGGCCGCAAGGCUAAA
rnacentral:rRNA from 1 species